AUACGGAGGGUGCAAGCGUUGUUCGGAAUCACUGGGCGUAAAGGGCGCGCAGGCGGCCUGAUUAGUCAGAUGUGAAAGCCCACGGCUUAACUGUGGAAGUGCAUUUGAAACUGUCAGGCUUGAGUACCAGAGGGGAAAGUGGAAUUCCCGGUGUAGAGGUGAAAUUCGUAGAUAUCGGGAGGAAUACCGGUGGCGAAGGCGACUUUCUGGACGAAUACUGACGCUGAUGCGCGAAAGCGUGGGGAGC
rnacentral:rRNA from 1 species